AGAAAAAGAAGAAGAAGAAGCAGAAAGCUCCAACGGGAAUCCCCAUCAUUUUCCAUCUAAAAAUGCUCCCAGUCUGGCUUUUGCUUUGCAGUAAUGGACGAUAACGUGGUGGUCGAACCACCCUUUUCCUCCCAAGUUCCCAAACCUUUUUUGGGUUUUCAUCUUAACCGUUGGAUGGCUUUCUUAGUCAGUAAUGGGGACCAGCCAACGUCUAGAACCGAAACAGGACUCCCUUCAUGCGAAACUCGUGGCUUGUCUUAUGCAGUCAUCUUGAUUCGGAAAUGGAAUCUUCAUUUGGUCAAAUCAAAUUCCUAAUGCAAUCACAAAUCAAUGCAGAAUAAUUAAUUAUCCCGGAAAUUGAAAAGUUAAAGCCUUUUGGCUUCGACCCAUCUUUGUUUAGCCGACCCCUAGUGCAUUCACGUGACUGCGCAACAUACCAUAGUCUAUCCUUCUCCACUCAGCGUUUCAGAGCCUCAGAGAGAGAGAGAGAGAGAGAUGGAACCCCCACCAUCCCAAGCCAUUGAGACUUCUGGAAAGGCCCUUGAGUUCCAGGUUGAACAGGAUGAACAAGACAAGGCCAUCGAUAGUUGCUGUUCUUGCUGCUAUGACUGCUCAGAGAGCUGUUUCUUCGAUUAUUUGUUCUGUAACCUCUGUUGAGGGAGUCUUACAAUUUACUCAAGCCAUGAAAAAGAUCGAAAUGGGUCUUCUUGGCAUCAUUAAUCAGGGUGUUGAAACUGCUGUUUGUUAUAUAUAUUGAUGAGUGAAUCAUGGUAAUUUGCAAUAUUAA